UAGGUCAGAGGGGGUAACCGCUACUCCCUUCUUCAAAAAUAAAUACUUUGAUGCAUCUUGUUUUAGUACUACUGUAUUAUGGUUAGAGGGGGUAACUCCCACCCUCUCUGCAAAAAUGAGUACUCUGAUGCAUCUUUUAAUACUACUACUGUAAUAUGGUCAGAGGGGGCGGGAUACGCCCUUUUCUCGUGUCUUUGUGUACAUCAUUACUUAUAGUUUUAAAGAUGUAAAAAAAAAAUUAUUCAU